GACGAACGCUGGCGGCGUGCCUAAUACAUGCAAGUAGAACGCUGAAGGAGGAGCUUGCUUCUCUGGAUGAGUUGCGAACGGGUGAGUAACGCGUAGGUAACCUGCCUGGUAGCGGGGGAUAACUAUUGGAAACGAUAGCUAAUACCGCAUAAUAGUAGAUGUUGCAUGACAUUUGCUUAAAAGGUGCAAUUGCAUCACUACCAGAUGGACCUGCGUUGUAUUAGCUAGUUGGUGGGGUAACGGCUCACCAAGGCGACGAUACAUAGCCGACCUGAGAGGGUGAUCGGCCACACUGGGACUGAGACACGGCCCAGACGCCUACGGGAGGCAGCAGUAGGGAAUCGUCGGCAAUGGACGGAAGUCUGACCGAGCAACGCCGCGUGAGGGAAGAAGGUUUUCGGAUCGUAAAGCUCUGUUGUAAGAGAAGAACGAGUGUGAGAGUGGAAAGUUCACACUGUGACGGUAUCUUACCAGAAAGGGACGGCUAACUACGUG
rnacentral:rRNA from 1 species